GAUGAAGACCAUGUGUUAUGUUUAAACUGAUGAAAUAACUUCGUGUUCUUACUAAAUUAUGGUUCUUGAAAUCAUUUUUGGUAUGACUUCUUUUUUUUACUAUAGAAAGUCUACUGGACUCAAUGAAAGAUGGCAUAGAGUUGUGAAGCCAAAGUCUCACUGUGAAGUUGAGAAGAUACCAUCCUGAACUGGUUCAAUACACCGUGUAUAAAAUCUGGAACAUGCAACAAACAAUGUGGAUUAAGGAACGAUAAGCAUAUGGAGCAAGGAAGAAGAAGCAUAUGGAACAAGAACUAUGAGAAUAAAGAACAAGGAUCUUGAAGAAUAUGGAACAAGGAACUAGGAGAAUAUGGAACAAGGAGCUUGAAGAAUAUUAAACAAGGAACUAUGAGGAUAAAGAACAAUGAACUAGAAGAAUAUGGAACAAUGAACUGGAAGAAUAUGGAAUAAGGAACUGGGAGAAUAUGGAACAACGAACUAGAAGAAUAUAGAACAAGGAACUAUGAGAAUAAGGAAUAAAGAACAAGGAACUGGAAGAAUAUGGAACAAGGAACUAGGAGAAUAUGGAAGAAGAAAGUAGGAGAAUAUGGAAUAAGGAACUAGAAGAAUAUGGAACAAGGAACUAGGAGAAUAUGGAACAUGUAACUAGGAGAAUAUGGAACAUGUAACUAGGAGAAUAAUGAACAAGGAACUAUAAGAAUAUGGAACAAGGAACUAGGAGAAUAUGGAACAUUUAACUAGAAUAAUAUGGAACAAGAAGUUAGAAGAAUAUGGAACAAGGAUCUAGGAGAAUAUGGAACAAGGAACUAGGAGAAUAUGGAACCAGGAACUAGAAGAACUUUAUAUAAGGAAUUGGGAGAAUAUGGUACAAUGCACUGGUAGAAUAUGGAACAAGGAAUUAGAAUAAUAUGGAACAGGAAUUGGGAGAAAAUGGAACAAGGAACUAGGAGAAUAAGGAACAAGAAACUGGGAUAAUGUUGAAUAAGGAGAUGGGAGAAUAUGGAACAGGGAACUGGGAGGCAAUAGAUAUGGACUAAAGAUCUAUAACUUGCUGUAAUAGAAUUUGUACAAAUUUAAAAAGAUUGUAAAUGCAUUUUUAACAGAUUUUAUAUUGCGUGUUGGAAAAAAGGAGUUAUUUACCUGAUCCAUAGGAAGUUUUCUUAGUUUAUGAAAUGUCCUUCCAUAAAAUGGCCCAAUAUCUUAUUCCAAGAUGUUUUAAAGAAGAUUUAGAAGAAAUAAAUUUCUAUUUUGAAGAUGA